rnacentral:rRNA from 1 species
CGGGACGGGUGAGUAAUGUCUGGGAAACUGCCUGAUGGAGGGGGAUAACUACUGGAAACGGUAGCUAAUACCGCAUAACGUCGCAAGACCAAAGAGGGGGACCUUAGGGCCUCUUGCCAUCGGAUGUGCCCAGAUGGGAUUAGCUAGUAGGUAAGGUAACGGCUUACCUAGGCGACGAUCCCUAGCUGGUCUGAGAGGAUGAUCAGCCACACUGGGACUGAGACACGGCCCAG